rnacentral:rRNA from 1 species
AGCAGCCGCGGUAAUUCCAGCCCCUAUAGCGUAUAUUAAAGUUGUUGCAGUUAAAAAGCUCGUAGUUGAAUUUCGGGGUCAGUAGGUCGGUCGUGCCACUGGUAUGAACUGGUUUUACUGAUUCCUCCCUCUUGAAGAACUGUAAUGCCAUUAAUUUGGUGUUGCAGGGAAUCAGGACUGUUACUUUGAAAAAAUUAGAGUGUUUAAAGCAGGCUUUAGCUUGAAUACAUUAGCAUGGAAUAAUGAAAUAGGACGUUUGAUCCUAUUUUGUUGGUUUCUAGGAUUGACGUAAUGAUUAAUAGGGAUAGUUGGGGGCAUUAGUAUUCAAUUGUCAGAGGUGAAAUUCUUGGAUUUAUUGAAGACUAACUACUGCGAAAGCAUUUGCCAAGGAUGUUUUCAUUAAUCAAGAACGAAAGUUAGGGGAUCGAAGACGAUCAGAUACCGUCGUAGUCUUAACCAUAAACUAUGCCGACUAGGGAUCGGAUGAUGUUAAUUUUUUAAUGACUCA